CCUGCCCGGCCGUCGUCGCCGUUCUGUUAAGCCGCUGCUAUCCCCGAGCUUGCCACUGUUGCCUUUGUUACCGAGCAAGAGGGGAGAAGUCACGCGGCAGAGGAGAGGAGGGAAGCUCACCGCGUCGCAGUCGUCGCGCCGCUGCUAGUCCACCUUGAAGCCGCCGUCGAAGCAGAGCCGUGGAGAGAGACGAGUUCGCGUAGGGAAGAGAGAAAUGCAUCCGAGAGAGAGAACGAGCACGAGAGGAAGGAGACUGCCGUUCUCAUCGCUGCAAGAGGUUCCACCGCCGUCAUUGGUAGCAACCGAAGUCACCGCCGCCUUUGCAAGCUUUUUCCCAGCUGUUUUGGUUCUUGUCCUGUUGUAACUCGCCAAUGUCCCUGCUCAUUUCUAACAUCUAUUCAGCCUUCGCCAGAUCUCGCUGUCGCCGGAGAAACACUUCCGGAACUGCUCAGAUCCGCUGUACCAUUCUUGUUGCGCUCUGAUCGAUUUGAAUCCACCGCUUUUCUUGGUGUUGUGGUCAUUGUCGUUAUAAUGGGGAGUUAAUGUUGUUGCUACUGGUGCAGUUUUGGUUGCUGCAAUUUCGAUUUCUAUGAGUUUUAAUACUAAGACGCAGUGGCUUGCCAUCACUUGCUCCAGGUUGAGACUUGAUACUCUGUUGACCCUACGACGUAAGGGUAACCGGACACGUAUAAAUUUUCGGGAAUGGUACCCCCAUUGAGUGGUUUUAUAUUUAUAUGAGAAAAAGCUAUGCAUAGACUCAUGGAGAUGCGUGUCGGGGGACACUCCAAGGGUUUAGCAAACCGGACUUGUUGGGUUGACUUGAUAACCGACAGAUGAGACUCAUUAGCCAUUGGACAGGCAUUCAUCAUACGCAUCUAUGUGACAUUGUUUGGAUGUGCAUAUUGUACUUGGUUUGCCUAUGUGAAUAAUUCUGUCUAAUUGUUAAUUGCUCUACUUGAUGUAACUGCUUGAUUGUACUUGAACAUCCCUAGUUGUGUUUGUAACAAAAAUUGGUUGAAUUUAUGGUGAAUUGGUUGUGGAUUGAUUUGUUUGGACCUAGGGCCAUGGACGAUUAUGAGAUAGGCUGAAGGCCG